AAUAUACAAGACCUAUUGCUUAUAGUAUCUGAGAUAUGGACUUGACCACCAAAACUUAACCUUGUUCACUGAUCCAUAAAAUGAGGUCGAGGUCAAGUGAAAACUGUCUGACGGGCAUGAGGACCUUGCAAGGUACGCACAUACCGAAUAUAGUUGCACUAUUGCAUAUAGUAUUAGAAAAAAAGACCAAAACUCAAAAACUUAACUUUGACCACUGAACCAUGAAAAUGAGGUCAAGGUCAGAUGACACCUGCCAGCUAGACAUGUACACCUUACAAUCAUUCCAUACACCAAAUAUAGUAGACCUAUUGCAUACAGUAUUAGAAAAAAAAACCAAAACUCAAAAACUUAACUUUGACCACUGAACCAUGAAAAUGAGGUCAAGUCAGAUGACACCUGCCAGUUAGACAUGUACACCUUACAAUCAUUCCAUACACCAAAUAUAGUAGACCUAUUGCAUACAGUAUAAGAAAAACAGACCAAAACACAAAAACUUAACUAUAACCACUGAACCAUGAAAAUGAGGUCAAAGUCAGAUAACACCUGCCAGUUGGACAGUCCUUCCAUACACCGAAUAUACUAGACCUAUUGCUUAUAGUAUCUGAGAUAUGGACUUGACCAUAAAA